rnacentral:rRNA from 1 species
GAUGAACGCUGGCGGCGUGCCUAAUACAUGCAAGUCGAGCGAACAGACGAGGAGCUUGCUCCUCUGACGUUAGCGGCGGACGGGUGAGUAACACGUGGAUAACCUACCUAUAAGACUGGGAUAACUUCGGGAAACCGGAGCUAAUACCGGAUAACAUGUUGAACCGCAUGGUUCAACAGUGAAAGACGGUUUUGCUGUCACUUAUAGAUGGAUCCGCGUCGCAUUAGCUAGUUGGUAAGGUAACGGCUUACCAAGGCAACGAUGCGUAGCCGACCUGAGAGGGUGAUCGGCCACACUGGAACUGAGACACGGUCCAGACUCCUACGGGAGGCAGCAGUAGGGAAUCUUCCGCAAUGGGCGAAAGCCUGACGGAGCAACGCCGCGUGAGUGAAGAAGGUCUUCGGAUCGUAAAACUCUGUUAUUAGGGAAGACCAAAUGUGUAAGUAACUAUGCACGUCUUGACGGUACCUAAUCAGAAAGCCACGGCUAACUACGUG